GGCCAUUUUAUAUUGAAACACUAGUUCUUGUCUGAUCACCAAAGUUAAGCAACAUCGAACCUAGUCAGUACCUAGAUGGGUGACUGCUUGGGAAUCCCAGGUGCU